GCCCUCGGCCCUGGGCUUGGGAGCCCCACACAGCGCGCGGACGCUGGCCCGGGGCCGGCCUGUCCAGCUUCGGACAUCUAUCAGCCGAGGGCCCCCAGAGCGAGUCCCGAAAUGUGUGUGCCUGCUGGGGACCACUCCAUACAUUGGCUCUAUUGACAAAUGGAUCUCUCCGUGCCCAUUGCGUGCCUCUCCUCUUGGCCAAGAAGCGGGAGGCAGGCUUCGUCCUCGUUAUUGUGGAGCCCGACGUGGUCAUGCCAUGGAUCCUGAUUCCGGGAGUCUUCCUGGCUGUUUUCCUUUGGAGUGUUUCCACAUUGUUCUGGUUCUGCUCACGUCUCUACGUCAGUUCAUACAGCACCUCCCAGACUUCUCGGAAGCUGUCUUGGUCAUCUUCCUCACAGACCUGCGAUACUCCAUCAAAACACGCCCUGUGCUGCGUUCAGCCAUUCCCCAACGGCUUGGCACCCCCUUUGUUUCCAGUUUCUGCCACCACAAAGUGUCCGUACAGACGAUUCCUUUUUCUCUUUCUUGGAUCUUUGCGGUCGAGGUCUAGAAGUGCUGUGGCUGAGGGCACACACAGCUCCAAUCGCUUUCCAGAAUGGUGGAGCAAACACGAGCGCCACCAACAAGGCCUUUGUAUUACUGGGUUCCUGCAAUCUGUCCAACGCUUACUUGCCGUCUUUGCCGAUCUGGUAGGUGCUGAGCUUCUCCUUUCAGAGCUCCCUCAGGAACAGGCAGGGAGAAUACAGCUUGUACCUGAUAUUCUGCCAACAUCGCCAUGCCAUCUAUGGAUGGCAAGAAACAAAGCAAGUCCAGAACAACAACCGUUUGAGAACACAGAGCAUAUAUCCCUCCUGACUUUCCUCCAAGGGGAUGGAAUCAUCUUACAGACAGGAUCUCAUUUGUGGUCACUGCAUUCUCUUGAGGUAGGCAGCAAGUCACUAUUAUCAAGAAAACAAGAUUUGAGAUUUCACAGUAGCAGUGAGAGCUGAGGGCAGAAACAUUGAGAAGAAAGUUAGAAGACUGGCUCUCUAAUCCUGGGUCCGUAACUUCCAUGUAGUUAACCUGUUAACAUGGCUAAGCAUUAUAGAGGCUAAAAAUUAAUAUUUUCAUAUUGGAGACUCAUCAUCCAAUAGGUUGGCCUCAUGGAUCAAGAGAAAAUGAACUCAGGAUCUUAGGUGUCCAAUUUAGGGCUACGAGCUCUAGCGGAAGCUUCUUUUUGGUUUCCCAUCUAAUUGUCUCAAGCUUCCAGUUAGCUUUGAGUACGAAGACUUGGCCUACAAGGUGAAGACCAAGAAUUGCCUGCCAUGAAUGUAUUCCUCACAUCACAGAAGUUCUGUUGAUUUAAAGAAUAACAGGCAAACAGUUAGUGGAGAAAGAAAUUUCUUUCUCUUUAUAAGAAGAACGUGUGAUAUUUAUUGAAUGAGGGAUGUUCACUGAAUGAUGAAAACUUGCUCUCCUAAUUAGCACCCCACUUCCACCAGCUGCAUGGCUUCCAGAGAGAACAGUACAGUAUAACAUGAUUGUGAAAGGACAUAACUUAGGACCUAGCAAGGAUCAGAGACUCUGCAUUUAGACAAUUUGUACUUUACGUAGCAAAUCAAUCACUGCUUGUUUGGUGAGGAACACCACCUCAUUGUUGUUCUGACACCAAACCUCAAAAUGGCAAGGCUGUUCCGAGGCUCUCUUGCCAGCUAUCACAACAAAGGGGUAACCAAGUUUGUUAGCAUCUUUCAAUCUGUUUCCAAUUGUCAAAUGUAUCCUGUCGUCAAGCAAAACCUCCCCCUUCAGCUGGGGCAAGGCUUCUGUGAUAUCGUCAUAUAAAGUCCCCAUCAACUCUAUUCCCAUUUCUUCCUUGCUGCCCUUUUUGGGAGGAAUAAGGCAUACUUGGUAAGGGGCAAGCAGACUAGGCCAGCGGAUACAUUCUUCCAUGGAAAGCAUUUCGAUGGCUGCAGCUAAAAUGCGGGUCACACCUAACCCAUAGCACCCCAUUUCUAAUAGCGAAGGCUUGCCCUGAGCAUUGAUGAACUCAGCAUUGAAUACAGAUGAGUACUUGGUGCCCAGAUAAAAGGUGUGCCCCACUUCAACGCCUUUGGUUUCUGUCAGUUUCCCUUGGCACACUGGGCAAGUUGGAUCUCUGGGAUCCAGCGUCUCAACAUUGGCCGCGAAGUUGCAAUUGGAGCAGACUGCAAGCACGUCUUCCCCAAUGUUCAAGGGGAGCUGAAACUCGUGAGACAUUGUUCCACCGAUGCUCCCCACAGCUGCCUGGACCCUCACAAACUGAAGCCCAAGUCGGUUAAACACCCUGCCGUAAGCUUCGCAUACCAGGUCAUACGUCUGGUGAGCGGCCUCAGAAGAGCAGUCAAAGGUGUACAUGUCCUUCAUGUAAAACUCCCGGCCCCGCAGCAGGCCAAAGCGGGGCCUGGGCUCAUCCCGGAACUUGCGUGUGAUCUGAUAGAGAAGGUAGGGAAGCUGCUUGUAGGACAGAGUCUUCUGAGAGGCCAUCAGGCUGGUGAUGACUUCCUCAUGGGUCGGUCCCAAACAAUAGUCUUUGUUAUGACGAUCCUGCAGCCGAAAAAGCUCUUUGCCCAUCAGGUUCCACCGGUCGGUGACUCUCCAGAGCUCAGCUGAGCUCAGGGUGGGCAUGUCAAGCUUCUGCCCACCGAUGGCCUGCAUCUCCUGGUCUAUCACCUUGACCAGCUUCUCCAUGGCUCGAACAGUAUAGGGCAGGUAGUGGUAACAGCCAGGGCCAGCAGGGUGAAUCAGCCCCGUCUGAAGCAUCAGCCUCUGGCUCUUACAGGUCACUUCGGCAGACUUGCUCUCUAGUCCAACCACUUGAUCUUCCCGGAGGUUCUGAGGCUGGAAGAAAUGAGACAGCACCAGGCGUUUUGCUCUGCCUGGAGGGUGAUGGUAAAGCCUGCAAGGAGUAUGUUGUGACCGCUGGCAAAUGGCCCACAGUACACGGGGAAAGGCCCUCCAUCUUCUCAGAAGCCCUUCCAUGCCACCCCAGGGCAGGAACCACUCAGAUCUGUGGGGAAAUGAGUUAUGUGCCAUGAAGCAUUCGUUCCAUAGCGUUAGAUCAUCUGCAUCAGGUGGCUGUUGGGAGAAAGUGGGCUGUUCUUAACCUAAAGAUGCCAUCUAAUAAAUCUAUUUUCUUUCCUUCUAA